UGGUGAAAUCCCCCGGCUCAACCGGGGAACUGCCUUUGAUACUGGUGGUCUGGAGUAAGGUAGGGGCAUGCGGAACUGAUGGUGGAGCGGUGAAAUGUGUUGAUAUCAUCAGGAACUCCGGUGGCGAAAGCGGCGUGCUGGACCUUUACUGACGCUGAGGCGCGAAAGCCAGGGGAGCAAACGGGAUUAGAUACCCCGGUAGUCCUGGCCCUAAACGAUGGGUACUAGGUAGUAGGCUUGACAUGGGUUUACUGCCGGAGCAAAAGUGCUAAGUACCCCGCCUGGGGAGUAUGGUCGCAAGGCUGAAACUCAAAGAAAUUGACGGGGGCUCACACAAGCGGUGGAGCAUGUGGCUUAAUUCGAGGCUACGCGAAGAACCUUAUCCUGGACUUGACAUAUGCGAAAGCGUUGGGAGGUAGGACUCGGAAACGAGAACGAACGGUAUCCAAUCCGGAACCCAAUACAGGUGCUGCAUGGCUGUCGUCAGCUCGUGUCGUGAGAUGUCGGGUUAAGUCCCAUAACGAGCGAAACCCCUGCCCUUAGUUGCUAGGCGCAAGCCGAGGACUCUAGGGGGACUGCCGGUGUCAAACCGGAGGAAGGUGGGGAUGACGUCAAGUCCUCAUGGCCUUUAUGUCCAGGGCUGCACACGUGCUACAAUGGCGUGAACAAAGGGACGCAAACCCGCGAGGGGGAGCAAAUCCCAAAAAACACGCCCCAGUUCAGAUCGAAGGCUGCAACUCGCCUUCGU
rnacentral:rRNA from 1 species